UUCCGUUGUAUUUAUAACUGAAAAUACAUGUUGAACUGCUAUUUAAGAAGAUUUUUAAAAGUUAUUUUUAUGUACACAUUUAUCUCCGAAAAGAAGUUCUGAAGUUUCACCUGCAAGGCGAAAAAAGUUCACCAGGCAUUUUACUAUAAACUGUUCUGUUCUUUUUAAUUUUAAAAUUACAUGAGCUUUAUUUGGUCCCUGGAGUUCUUAGAACGAGAUUAUGCUUAGUAGGAUUCUUGACACAAGACUUGUGCAUUCAAGUUCAAUUUUGAGUGAUUUUAAGUUUAUGUAAGUGCAUAACAUAAGUAUGUUAUGCACUUACAUAACAUGUUAUAUAUAAAAUGGAUCAUUUCAAAGCCAGGGAAAAAUUUUACAUGUUAAAAUAUGUGCUUAAAAAUAGUAAAUUUUAAAAUAUUUAAGCACUAGUGCUUCUUUAUGAUAAAACCAAUGAGUUUCUCAUCGUUUUAAAAACUUUUUAUAACAAUAUACAUUUUUAUUAUUAUUUAAUUACAAUAACUUAAUAAAUAAAAUAUUUAGGUUAUCUACAAGUAAACAUUAAAUAAAUAAAUUUAUAAACAAAUUUAUAAAGAUUACCCCAGAAAUUGCAACUACCCCAGAAAUUACAUGUAUAAUUAGAAUACAUUGUUAAAUUUAUUUGUUUAUAAUAUUCAUGCAGGAUAGUCAUGCAGAAUAGUAAAAACUCUAUAUAAAAUAAAUACAUCUGCUAUUAUUUUUCUUUAUUGUUUCUGAUUGUUUAUAGAGAAAUUUUAAUCAGUUCACUAAAAGAUUUUGAACGUAAACUUUAUUUCUAGCAGUCCAACAUUGUAAAAAGACUAAAUAUAGUAAGUUAUUGUUGACACUAUAGAAUUAAGUGAUGCUCUAUAGUAUGGAUUAAAAAUAAGAAUGGUAAUUUCCAACAAAUAAAUAAAAAGUGAAGGCCUAAAGUUAUUGCUUUAAAGGUAUUGUUUGUUUUGUCUAUUGUUGUUAAAUCAUUCUGGAUUUAUAUUUUAUAUUUUUCUCAAAAUUUAAGUGCUUCACUGUAUCAGAAUAACUGCCAGAAAUGAAAAUUUGAUGCAUUUUAAGUUGGUAAAGUAUUUAGUCGUUUAAUAUAUAAUAUAAUAAAUUUAAGUUGUAGGUGUAAGGCUUGAUUCAAGGCUUGAUUUCAAUCACCUAUGGAAUCAAUUAGAGUUAAUUGGAAAUGAGGGCAUCCUAUGAUUCAACCGAAUCCCUAAUUUCAAUUUAGAACCGAAUAUGAAAAAUUUAUUACACAACCGAAAAUAUUCACGAAAAAAAUUAGAACCGAAAAAAUUUUAAUCAAAUUUUCGAUCGAAAGUCAUAAACGAUUUUAGAACCAAAAAAAUUUCGAUCGAAUUUUCGAUCGAAAGUCAUUAAUGAUUUUAGAACCAAAAAAAUUUCCAUCGAAUUUUUAAUCAAAAGUCAUUAAUGAUUUUAGAACCGAAUUUGAUUAAAAUGGUUUACAACCGAAAGUUGUAGCACCGAAUUUUUUUAGCGUUUAUAAAUAUUUUUAGUUUAAUGCUUUUGUAAUAUAAGUUUAAUGCGCUUACUGUUUUGAAUAUAUUCUUACAUAAUAAAUUGAAAAUAACAUUAUUUGUUUUUAAAAACAUUUUGUAGUUGGUUGAAUAAUAAAAACAUAAUGGAGUAUCAAAAAGUUAAAGGCGAAAGGAGAAAUUCAUUCCUCUACAUAACUGGGAAUAAUUGCUAUGUAAAAUCAAGAAUCACAACGGCUACAUUUAUUUAAAGUGCAAAAACUAUCAACUGAGUGUUAGAACUGCAAAAAUACGUAAAUAAAAAAGUGAUUUACUUAAGACAAUGCUAGGCCACUCUUGCGAUUCUAAAACAGAAGAUUUUAGCCAUUUGGAAGCGAUGGAAAGAAUGAGACUCAAAGCUGCAACAACACAAAUUCCAUUACGCCAGAUUUACAUGGAAAUCAUUCGAGACUGUCCUGAAAAUGUUAAAAAAAAUUUAUUCAACUUAAAAUGUGAACAGAUAAAAUGUGGUGCAAGAAAAACUCAGUACAGUGCAAAAUCCAACAGCGUAGAAGAAGCAGUGUUGGCAAUAUCUGAGCCAAAUCUAUUUAACAACAUUCUGAAAGGAAUCGUCAGAUUUGAAGACCAGUUGGCCAUACUAUUUUGUUCAUCAGCACUACAAAUAUUAAUUUAGAAAUUUAUUUAACAUCUUUUAACCUUAGCUUGCACAUAAUAUUUUGUUUUUGUUAUAUUUUUCAAUACUUUUACAAAUUUAUUCAUUUUUUUCAGGAUCUACAAUUGUUUUAAUUGAUGCAACAUUUCGCGUUGUUCCUAGCAUCUUCAAAGAAGGUCAACUACUAUAUAUCUCCAUUAUGCAUUAUGACAUUGUCCUUUCAGUGUUUCAUGUACUUAUGACUGGGAGAAAAGAAAUUAUUUACAUUGCUAUAUUUAGAAAAAUUAAGGAACUUUCAAGUGACUUUUAACCACGAAUUUCUAUGGCUGACUAUGAAGCAGCAAUAGGCAGUGCCUUGAAGGUUGUCUUCCCUGAAAUAAGAUUGACUGGUUGCUGGUUUCAUUACGGCCAGGCAAUUUUAAAAAAAAUCAAAGUUGUUGGUCUUCAAUCUGAGUACAUCAACAACCCUGCAAUUAAAAGGUGGUGCCGGAAAUUCGUUGUCCAUGUGCCUCUUGCCUUGUGUUCUCAUCAGAGCAGAAGUAGAUUUACUCAAAACAGAGAUGAGUCGAUUUGCGAACAUUGAAACUCGUGAAAAAAUGAGAAAGUUUGUGUAUUACUUUGAGAAGUAUUGGAUGACAACACAAAUCCCAGCUUUUUUUUUCUAUGCACGGACUUCAAUUCAGAACCAACAAUGUCUCGGAAUCACUGCAUUCAAAAAUGAAUAGAUGCAUGGCUGCUCACCCUAGCUUCAGGAGGUUUCUAGACAAUAUAUAUCAUCAGAACUAGAACUCAACCAAUCGCAGAAUGGUCAUCAACCUCGAAGAGAACAAAGAAGAGAGAGAGAGAGUUCGAUCUUUUGAACAAUUACAAAGUUAUGAAUAAAAACUUUCCACAGGAGAGUGGACUCCAACAAAGUUUCCUGAGGCUUCAGCUUUCUACUUUAAUGACAUCAAACUCACAUCAGUGGGAGAUACAGAACAAGAGCAGGACAAAAAUCCACAAGAGAAUGUUCAGGAUCAUCAACAAGAGACCAUGCCUAUGGAGACAUUGUGCAAGAUAUGUCUUGCACUUCCUUUAGAAGUUGUUGUUCUGCCGUGUAGACACUUUUGUAUGUGUCUUCAGUGUUCAGAUAACCUUGCAAAUGACGGAAACAAAAGAUGUCCAAUUUGUCGUUCCACAUGUAGCCCAGAUGAUUAAGUUUUUCAUUUGGUACUAUUUGAUGGUUUUCAGGGUUACCUUGCAAUUAGUUACUAGUCGCUUUCCGGAAAACAAACCUUCCAUUGAGUUUAACGCCGUUUAAGUUAUUGUAAUUGUUACACGUUGUUAUAAGCCU